AACAGCUACAGUAUAUCUCCCUGCAACUCACAACUGGCAACCCACUGAAGCUAAGCAGGCAUGAGUGUGGUCAGUACCUGGAUGGGAGACCUCCUGGGAAAGUUAAGGUUGCUGCUC
rnacentral:rRNA from 1 species